AUUGAACGCUGGCGGCAUGCUUUACACAUGCAAGUCGAACGGUAACAGGGAGCUUGCUCCGCUGACGAGUGGCGAACGGGUGAGUAAUGCGUCGGAACGUGCCGAGUAGUGGGGGAUAACGCAGCGAAAGUUGUGCUAAUACCGCAUACGUACUGAGGUAGAAAGUGGGGGACCUUCGGGCCCCACGCUAUUAGAGCGGCCGACGUCUGAUUAGCUAGUUGGUGAGGUAAAGGCUCACCAAGGCGACGAUCAGUAGCGGGUCUGAGAGGAUGAUCCGCCACACUGGGACUGAGACACGGCCCAGACUCCUACGGGAGGCAGCAGUGGGGAAUUUUGGACAAUGGGCGCAAGCCUGAUCCAGCCAUGCCGCGUGUCUGAAGAAGGCCUUCGGGUUGUAAAGGACUUUUGUCCGGGAGCAAAUGCUGGUGGCUAACAUCCACCGGAGCUGAGAGUACCGGAAGAAUAAGCACCGGCUAACUACGUGCCAGCCGCCGCAGUAACAC
rnacentral:rRNA from 1 species